rnacentral:misc_RNA from 1 species
AAGGUGGGGCUGAUGACUGGGGUGAAGUCGUAACAAGGUAUCCGUACCGGAAGGUGCGGAUGGAUCACCUCCUAACAGGGAGACAACACAAUGAUUUUGAUGCCUGAGUACUUUUAUUCUUAGGCCGAAAUCCUGUCACCUUAGGUCGAUCGGUACCUCAGCUUUGAAGUUAAGGAUCAGCAGCAAUGUUGAUUGCUUGAUGGAAAUUUUCAGUUCCUAAACUUUGUCUAGGUCACACCCCAAAAGGGAUGAGACUCCUGGGCCAUUAGCUCAGGUGGUUAGAGCGCACCCCUGAUAAGGGUGAGGUCCCUGGUUCAAGUCCAGGAUGGCCCAUUCGGUGUUGGGGGUUUAGCUCAGUUGGUAGAGCGCCUGCUUUGCAAGCAGGAUGUCAGGAGUUCGAGUCUCCUAACCUCCACUGACCGAACUUGAUUCCCAUCUCCAAUUUUUUGGAGUUGAGCUCGAUUGGAGUGUGAUUUAGAUGUGUCCGCUGGAUGACCCCAGCUUCCUGUCAUUCCAAGUUUUAGGUUAAAGCCUUGAAUUUGGUUGAUAAGAUGCUGGGCUCGAAUCAAAUGAUCAAGCAAUUGAUGAUUUGAUUUGAAGUUCUAGCAGAACCUUGACAACUGCAUAGGUGAGUCUGGAAAAAACAAAGCAUCUUACAGAUGCAUUGUUUUGAAUCUGAUCUUCUGAAAGGGAGAUUGGAUCUAGAACAAUGAAAAUUCUUUUGAGCAAGAGCCGAGACUCUUGAAUGUUCUUUGAUUGGUGUCGAGCCAAUCAGAGUUUGAUCUUGUUUUUAGCAAUAAAAACUUGAGAAUCUGCUUUCAACGGCGGUAAGCGUUCAGGAGGUUAAUUGGUCAAGCUACAAAGGGC